UCCUCUGGUUGCCCUAAGGACUACCUUGGUGUCCCCACAGUGUAACUCAGGCCUAGUCUCAGCGAGGACACAUGCAUCCAGUGCUACAGCCACUGCACCUGGCUCUCAUGGGCACCGGUCUCUGCCCCACUUUCUCGUUUCUAUUGGCAGCACAGCAUAUUGGCACAAAUGCUCAAACACUGCAGGCCCCAUCACCCGUUUUAGGUUCCUACCCUUCUGUCCCUCUCCUGCUAAGCUAAUGCAGGUGUCAAGAGAGUGAGGGGUGGGGUUCCAAUGACAACACUCUGGGGGGUGAUGGGAAUAAGGGGUUGAGGCCGAACUGUCUGCAUCUCAUACUGGGACCUGCAUGUACCAGUGCCAGGGCUUGGGUUGAAUUCUGCUCAACCCUAUGGUGCCCAAUCUCUGCCCUGCCAUCUGCAUGUACCAUCAUGCCCUGGAGGGAGCCCAUCCUGGCUCUCACUUCACUCGCAUUGUAUUGCCCCCUGGGGAGCCCCUCCACCACCUCAGAGAUGGAGUUGUACAGAGGGUGUGGAGAAUAAGGUUAUCCUGUGACCAAAGGAGACAUGGGAAGAAGCCCCCCACUUCCACGACCGAGGGUCCCCCACCAACCCGGUUCUCAGAUAUGCAAGUACCUCACUUUGUUAACUUAAUUAACUUAUGGGUUUCAUUAAAGUUUUCAGUAGGAA
rnacentral:lncRNA from 1 species